UACCAAGGGACCUAAUUCACCUCGCAAUGACUGAUGCUAAAGAACAUGUAAUCCCCUAUACAAGUUAACUGUGAAAGCCCUCCGCAUUAGAUUUGAAAUUGCGAUUAAAACUAUUUACUUAUAGUAUGAUAGAGGAUGACGUCAGACAUAACCGUAGAGGUGAAAUUCGUAGACAUUAUGGAAAACACCAGGUGCAAAUGCGGUUUUCUGCAUCUUUACUGACGCUGAGAUACGAAAGUAUGGUAAACGAACAGGAUUAAAUACCCUCGUACUACCAUACCAUAAACGAUGAUUAUUAGAUGUGUAGAAUUAUUUCUCUGUAUCAUACAUGACGCGUUAAAUACUACGCAUGGGGAGUACGAUCGCAAGGGUAAAACUCAAAUGAACGUACGUGGAAUCGCACAAGCGGUGGAGCAAGUGGUUUAAUUGUGAAGCAAGCGCGCAGACCCUUGCCACCCCGUGACAUGGUCGUCGCGAGAAUAAGAAAGUAGUUUAUUCGGUUCGGCCGGAUGAACCGCAGGUGUUGCAAGGCCGUUGUCAGGUCGUGUCGUGAGAUGUUGGGAUAAGUGACUCAUCGAGCGCAACGCCUAGUUUUAGCAGGCAUCAGGAUAUGCUGGGCUCUCUAAUAGAUCGUCCUUUGAUAUCCAGGAGGAAGGUGGGGAUGACGUCAACUCUUCAUGGUCUAUGCGGGAUGGGUUCCACUACGUCCUACAAUGGUAAGUUCAAUGAGAUUCCGAUCAGCGAAGGUUAUCCAAACUCAAAAACAUUUCUCAGUUUGGAUUGCAGUCUGCAACUCGAGUGCAUGAAGCUGGAAUCGGUAGUAAUUGUGGAUCAGCGAUCCGCGGAGAAUACGUUAUCCGGGUUU
rnacentral:rRNA from 1 species